AUUUUCGGGUGAUCGCGGUUUGAUUUAUCAGGCUGAGGAAAGUCCAUGCUCGCACAGACUGAGAUGUCUGUAGUGUUCGUGCUUAGCGAAAACAUAAGCUAAGGUACUUGGAUACAUCAAAGUUGCUUAGGCGGAUUUUAUGUAUUAGAGUAACGGCAGGAAAAAUGACUAAGGUUUCGGCUAUGUCAGAGUACCCUUGAAAGUGCCACAGUGACGAAGCAAUUUUGGAAACGGAAUUGGUGGAACGCGGUAAACCCCUCGAGCGAGCAACCCAAACAAUGGUAGGGGCGCUCUUCUAAAGGAAAUGAACGAGUAGAAGAGGCAGAAUGAUUUCUGCAGAUAGAUGAUGACCAUCGAUUGUUUUUCCCUGAGAAACAGUCGAUACAGAACAUGGCUUACAGAA
rnacentral:RNase_P_RNA from 3 species